rnacentral:lncRNA from 1 species
GUGAAAAAUGUUGAAGUAAAAGUGUUUUUUGGUGUUUGUUUGACUUUGUUUUACAUGAAAAUUGUCAAUUUAAGGGAUAUCCACUUCUACCAUUGUUCCUAAAAUUUGUUUCCAUUGCCAACCAAAAAGGAAAAAAAAAUCAAAAAAUCAUCUAUAUUUUGGUGUUCGUUUAACUUUAUUUUAUAUGAAAAUUGUCAAUUUCAGGGAUAUCAUUUUUUACAAUUGUUCCUAAAAUUUGUUCCCAUUGCCAAAGAAGAAAAAAAAAAGAAAAAAAAAAGGGUGAAAAACCAAAAACCACCUACCCCCUAGGAAAAUAAAAGGUGGAAAAUCACACUUUAAGGUAUUGUACCUAGAAAUUCAUGGAAAAUCAAUUCCCUGAAAAAUUUUGUCAAUCAAACAGGUCAAAAGUGGAAGUUGGAAUUCGAAUUCCAAGUUCCACGGAAAAUUUCGUGCAAUCAAACGGGGUCUAAUAGAAAAUUAUUCAAAUAGGUUUGAAAGCAGCUUUUUAGUUCCAAAAGUAGCUUUUGAUUUUUCAAAAGCUCUGCCAAAUAGACCUAAAUUAUAUGAAGAUAUAUUUCCUCUUUCUAACAAUUUAAGUUUUCGAAUGCGGCGGGUAAUAAGAUUAUAAUAAAAGUUAAGUCUUGCAUAAGGCAUAAUUUCCGUCAUACCUCCCAUUUAUGAUUGAAACAUCUCAUCUAACCUUUGCCUGUAUUGGGCCAAUCUCUGUAAUUGUAAAUAGAGAAGGAGAAGAAUAAAAGAUAAGAAUUCACACACAAACACAAUAACAGACAUAAUUAAGGUAUUUCAACAUAAAUAAGUGAAAGGAAGUCACUAGUCCUAUCCGUGGUGUAGGUAGCUUUUGCAUUAUUCAAUAAUUCAAGGGUUCUUGACGUUUGGAAAAGAAACAAAAAGGGAUGUGAUAAGGAAACAUCAUACACCUAGCUAGAACAAUAAGCCAAAGAAAUUCACUUUUCAAGGAAACAUCAUACACCUAGCUAGAACAAUAAACCAAAUAAACUCACUUUUCAAGUAUUCAAUGUAAGAUAGCCAGAUUAAGAGACUUUGUUAUAGAACGUUAUGGUCACUAAAAUCUGGCAUCAGUCUAAGUUGACUGAGUAAUGCCAGGACCUCUUAAUCGGACACAAUUAUCGAACUUUAAUUUGUGGCAUUUUGUUCAUGGAAAAAACUAUACGUGGUUUGCUUCAAUUAUAAAUCAUUAUAGAAAAUUGAACUGGAGUCAAAAUCAAAAUAGACAAUUUACCGUCAUACAAUUUGUUUUAUUUCAUCUCUCAGUUGAUACUUAUCAAAAGAAAAAAUAAAAUAAAAUAAAAUUCUCAAUUGAGUUACUAAGACAAAUACCUCUUAGCAAAAGCAACAAAGAAUUUGCCAACAUAUAUCUAACUUCAAGGCCAAAAUAGUAAUUACAGAAAAAUUCACCAGGGAAAUCACACGUCUUAUUAUCUUGGCAUUGAAAUGGGAAAAAAAAAUCUACCUUGUUCCGUUCAAUCACGAAUAGUUACAAAAAAUAUUUGGUUCAAAUUGGAGUAAAAGUUAAAAUCAUCUACAUUUUAUUGUUCUACAUUUACAUUAAAAUGGAUAUUUUUCCUUUUCUUUUCAUUUAAGCAAACACAUAAUUCGGUUACCUGAUCGCCAUAAAAUUACACAUAAAUUCUUCAAGAGGAUAAAGAAGGAAUGUGAACUUUACUAAGCUUGGUCCCAAUUGAGGCAAAUCAACUGAUAUUAAAUUUUUUGAUAAAAGUUUCGACUCAAACCACGUUGAGGACACGAAGGGACUUCAUAUCUUUAAAGCUUACUUCAGUGAGUUCAGUCAUAUGAAGUAUGCUCAACUCAAUGCUAGUAGGGACAAGUGAACUUUGGUUCACCUUUUACAUGUAGAAUUAACGUAAACCCCCAUUCAUACCUCUCAAUCGGAGUAGAGUUCGCUAAGAGUUUAAAAGCAUCAAAUU